GGGACGGCUAACUACGUGCCAGCAGCCGCGGUAAUACGUAGGUCCCGAGCGUUGUCCGGAUUUAUUGGGCGUAAAGCGAGCGCAGGCGGUUCUUUAAGUCUGAAGUUAAAGGCAGUGGCUCAACCAUUGUACGCUUUGGAAACUGGAGAACUUGAGUGCAGAAGGGGAGAGUGGAAUUCCAUGUGUAGCGGUGAAAUGCGUAGAUAUAUGGAGGAACACCGGUGGCGAAAGCGGCUCUCUGGUCUGUAACUGACGCUGAGGCUCGAAAGCGUGGGGAGCAAACAGGAUUAGAUACCCUGGUAGUCCACGCCGUAAACGAUGAGUGCUAGGUGUUAGGCCCUUUCCGGGGCUUAGUGCCGGAGCUAACGCAUUAAGCACUCCGCCUGGGGAGUACGACCGCA
rnacentral:rRNA from 1 species